UGUAUUAUUGAUUUUUAGAGCACAAAUUACAACAUAUGGGUUUAGUGCCGCAUGUCUGUAUAAUCGAAGUGUAGAAUAAUUGAUCCCUUUGUUCUAGGGUUUAAGAACUUUGUUUUUUUUUUUUUUUGGUUUAACCUGGGGUAUCCCGGACCUAUGGAAGGGCCCAGACUAAUCCCCAAGGGGAGGUGCAGCCCACGGAUAGACCCUCUCUCCGGGUAUGCAAAUGGACCCUAAAGCAUGGACCCAUAUCCGUGUGGGGGUGUCCAGAGACAUCAUGAGGUAGUUCCCUCCGGCAGAGUUCGAUCUCGCAACCUGGGUGCAGGAAGGAGCCCGUCCUUACCAUUGGGCCAUGAUGUUCC
rnacentral:lncRNA from 1 species